ensembl:lncRNA
CGGGAAGUCUAGCAGGAUGACAGCUGUGGUCCUAGCAUGAGCCCUGGAUGCCCAGAAUGCCAGGGCCACAGGGACCCAGAAAACACUACGCUCACUGGUGUUCAGCCUGUUUUUAAAGUAGAGCAAAGCCUCUUUUCAUGUAAACCUUACAAGGAAAACCAAGGAAAUGGGGGUCUAUCACCAACUAUCGAAGAACAAGAGAACUCUAGAAAUGUAAAAUUAUGGCCCAGUCUCCAGUGCUGCAGCGCCAUAGAAGACAGUAAAUAAAUAAGAGCCAGUCCGAAAAUACCGAGGAAUUCGAAUUGACUGGAAGAAUCAGAGCCGUGCUUUAGCUAAAACUGGAGGAAGCUGGGGAAAACAACAUACACCAAGUCAAGAACAAGCUCACUUUACAAAACAAACAAAAGAAAGGCAAAGGCGAACAGGAGAGGGGAAAAGUGGAGAGACGCAAGAAAACUGAAAAAUGGGGAAUAACGAUUUGAACACAUCUGGUUCUGAAUCAAACCAAAUCCUCUUUCCUAUGUCCUGGAUAAAGGAGACUCAGAGAACCACCUUCCUUCUGCUCCUGGAAGAAGUAUUGUCCCUACAAGGAGCCCAAGGCGAGGAGGGCAGAUGAGGCCCCGAGACAGUGGCGACUCCAGAGGCUGCCCCACUCUUUGGUUCCCGGUCACUUCCAUCAGACCUCUGCUCUACGAUCACUCCUCUUCCUCCGCCUCUGGCCCUCCUGCCUCUCUCCUGUCUCCCUCUUGCCUCUAGGCCUGGGCUGCCAUUUCCUCCCUGCCACCAUGUGAGCCAGCUUGGGCUGGGCUGCUGGAGGAUUGGACCCUGUGUGGAGUGGAGCUUCUAGAAGGAACUUCUGCGCAAAAUACUGUCAUGGGUUGACGCAUCUCUGAG